AGAGCGAACGCUGGCGGCAGGCCUAACACAUGCAAGUCGAGCGCCCGUAGCAAUACGGGAGCGGCAGACGGGAUAGUAACACGUGGGAACGCGCCCUUCGGUUCGGAAUAACUCAGGGAAACUUGAGCUAAUACCGGAUACGCCCUUACGGGGAAAGAUUUAUUGCCGAAGGAACGGCCCGCGUCCGAUUAGCUAGUUGGUGAGGUAAUGGCUCACCAAGGCGACGAUCGGUAGCUGGUCUGAGAGGAUGACCAGCAUCACUGGGACUGAGACACGGCCCAGACUCCUACGGGAGGCAGCAGUGGGGAAUAUUGGACAAUGGGCGAAAGCCUGAUGGAGCAACGCCGCGUGCAGGAUGAAUGCCUUCGGGUUGUAAACUGCUUUUAUAUGUGAAGAUUAUGACGGUAGCAUAUGAAUAAGGAUCGGCUACUCCGUGCCAGCAGCCGC
rnacentral:rRNA from 1 species